rnacentral:lncRNA from 1 species
GGACACUUUACCUACAAAAUUCUUCCCUAACAGAACAGAUGGCUUAGUGACUGUCCUUCCUCCUUCACAGGAUACUCCCAAGAUGCAGGACUGACUCAAGGCUGAGUGGUAGAGAUGCUCAUUUUCAAGUCGCACCAUGCAUUGGACUUCCCGACACAUCCCUUCUGUGCCCCAGAUCAUCACCUGUGACCUGUAUGCUUGGCCACCAGCCCACAGAAUAAACUUCCAUUGUCAUCACCAAUACUUGAGACUGAAAAUAUCCAAAGUUCUCUGAGUAACAUAAAGAAAAACAUGUGUACUGCAUCUAUAUGAGACACGAUCUUUCUUCUAUCCAGAGCUGACUACCUUGCUGUGGAGUUAGGUAAUUACACUUUCCAAAAAUGAACCAUUUCCCUUUUUUCUUCUCAGUGAAAAAGAGGUUAGGAAAUACUUGCUUUUCUUCCAGAAGACCCGAGUUCAAUCACCAGCACUCAUGUCAGGCAGCUCACAGUCAUCUGUGACUCCAGCUCCAGGGGAUCUGAUGCCCCCUUCAGGCCUCCACAAACACAAACACGUGGCAUAUAUACACAGACACAAGUACACAUACAUAAAAAGAAAUAUUCAAUAGAGUGAAAAUAAAUCUUUAAUGCAAUAUGAUAUAAAUCUUCA